UCUCCUGCCUGCGUGCUAGAGAUGGAAACAGGACACAACAAAAUUCUACGCUCGGAGUCUCCCACCUGCGUGUUAGAGAAGAAACAGAGUAACCCGGCUCUGAGUCUCACCCCCGAAAAUAGAGACCUUAACAGAGUACAUCUAUGUUUUGAGUCUCGGGCCCUGUGUAACGGGAUCUACUUUUAUAACAAUUAUUUUUGAGAGACUUUUAUUUUGACGCGCAGACUGGUUUACGUGCGAGUGGUGAGAGUGCACGAAGAAGAGCGCGCAGUAGAAAAAGUAGAAGAGUAAGCUGAAGUGUAUGUCGUGUCGUGUCCGAGAAGCUCGUUCGAUAAAGUUGCUUUAAGAGAACUGAAUCGGAGUUUUGGUCGGACAGAGGACAGCACUGUAUUGUGGACUGUAAGUGUUUUACAGUUGAAGAUUGCGUUUUGAAGAUCGGUUCACGAGAAGCUCAGCUGUUGCUGGAAUGACGCAGUAACUUUAUGCUGGCUGCAGGAACACUUUAAAGUGCUCAAUAUGUGAGUUUUCUUGUCGUAUUUGUGACAUUUUUGGUAUAUCUGACAUAUUUUUGCUGUGUCACGUUAUUUACUUUACACUGAAGUGACGUUUUUGGUCCGGACGGAUCACGUCGUUUUAUUUUGUGGUUAACACGUGUCGUUACACGUGAGACAGCGGCUGCUGUAUAUAAUCGUGAUAUAAAGCACUGUUUUGAGAAGAUUUGAGUUUGAGUUUACCCUGCCAUCCAAACGACAUCUCAGCUGAUUCAUCUCGAGGGUGGUUCGUUUGUAAUUCAUCUGUGUGAUUCAUCUGAUCGAUUUAUCGUGAUAUUGCGACUGGAAGAGGCAACUAAGUUACAUCUCUCGAGUUAAUUUCAACGCACGCUACUUCAGGACAACGUAUUUCCACGCAUCAUUCUACAGACUGGGAUUUACUGCUGUUCAAUAUUUAUACUUAUUGGCUUAAGCAUUCUGGAGACCAUCUUGGUUCAAAUUCUGAGUGCUAAAGGAGAGGGGUCCGAAUCAGCAAUACCAAUGGAAACCAGUGUUGUAAGUGGUCAAGAUGAUGGUGUAAGAGACUUACAUAACCCUAUAGACACAGUUACCAUUGGAAAUGAAGAGUCAACCGGUACGUCUGACACUGGAAAGAGGGCCUCAAUGUGCUGGACCAAAGCGGCAAAAGUUAUAGAUGUGACCUUUAUUGUUCUUUACAUUAUCACUGUUAUUGUGCUUCUGACUGUUCUUGGCAAACGUUGGUUUCUGUAGUAAUAUUAUUAUGUUGGCUUGAGAAAGCCAACAUACUGUUGUUGCACUUAAACUUUUUUUUUUUAUUAUUAUUCUUUUUCUUCUGAGACUAAAAUUUCUAACUCUAACUCCUCCUAGAGCUUUCAAGCUACAGCCACCAAACUUUGCACAGACCUUCAGUCUGAUCUGACUUGAGUUGCUAUAUCUUUUCUAAGGGAUCGGACUUACGAUUCUCCUAAACCGUCUGAUCAAACAUCCCAAAAAAGUCCCAUAGACUUACAUUCAUAGAAUGUUUAGGCUGAGUGUUUAUUUUCAAAUUCUA